rnacentral:rRNA from 1 species
UACGUAGGGUGCGAGCGUUAAUCGGAAUUACUGGGCGUAAAGCGUGCGCAGGCGGUCUGUUAAGACCGAUGUGAAAUCCCCGGGCUUAACCUGGGAACUGCAUUGGUGACUGGCAGGCUUUGAGUGUGGCAGAGGGAGGUAGAAUUCCACGUGUAGCAGUGAAAUGCGUAGAGAUGUGGAGGAAUACCGAUGGCGAAGGCAGCCUCCUGGGCCAACACUGACGCUGAGACGCGAAAGCGUGGGGAGCGAACAGG